rnacentral:lncRNA from 1 species
GGUGCUGCGAUCCAAUGAACAGUGAGAGAAAUUGACCAAGAAAGGUGCUCCCCAGGAGGGCUUAGCCAUGGAGGAGAGAUUUGGAAGAGAAAGGGAAAUAGGCAAGUCAAGCGGACGGUCAAAGUCUCGAAAGAGCAGGAGCAAAAAAGAAGUCAGGUGCUACAAGUGCAACGUGAUCGGGCACUUCGAACGAGAUUGCCUACACUGGAAGAACAAG